rnacentral:rRNA from 1 species
CCUACGGGUGGCAGCAGUCGAGAAUCAUUCACAAUGGGGGAAACCCUGAUGGUGCGACGCCGCGUGGGGGAAUGAAGGUCUUCGGAUUGUAAACCCCUGUCAUGUGGGAGCAAAUUAAAAAGAUAGUACCACAAGAGGAAGAGACGGCUAACUCUGUGCCAGCAGCCGCGGUAAUACAGAGGGCUCAAGCGUUGUUCGGAAUCACUGGGCGUAAAGCGUGCGUAGGCGGUUUCGUAAGUCGUGUGUGAAAGGCGCGGGCUCAACCCGCGGACGGCACAUGAUACUGCGGAACUAGAGUAAGGGAGGGGGAACCGGAAUUCUCGGUGUAGCAGUGAAAUGCGUAGAUAUCGAGAGGAACACUCGUGGCGAAGGCGGGUUCCUGGACAUUAACUGACGCUGAGGCACGAAGGCCAGGGGAGCGAAAGGGAUUAGAUACCCCAGUAGUC